GUUUUUUUUUUCUUUUUUGUUCGUGCAGAGUACUGCACAAAAAAUGAUACUUCCUCUGUUCAUUUUUGUAAGUCGUUUUAAGACAGCUGAAAUUAAACUGUUUUAGUUGUUGUCUCAAAUGUCUAAAAUGUCUUAUAAAAAUGAGCGGAGGGAGUAGUAGAAAAAUUCAAACAAUUAUGAUUCUUUAAUGUUUAUGGUUGGAUGUUUUUUAAGAACUUUUCACUUGGUCAUCGUCUAUUCAUCUCUCAUGACAGUAGAACGGAAAUGAGAACUAACAAAAAAUAUAUGCAGGUUCCUAUACCACCUAACGAUGACUACGAAAGUGCUAGACCUGCAUACCUCCUACUAAAAGGCUACGCAACUUUUCAUCUCUAACUAAUCAACUGGGAUGGGCCCCAACUACCAACCCGGAUCCAAUUAAUUACCUACACAUCAGCCUUUACGUAAAGUGUUCAUGUAAGUUUUUGUGGGUGUAGCAUUACUUCGAUGACUAUAAACACCGGAGCAAGCGAAAGACGCGCCGUCACCACCACUCUCUCAUCGAAGCCAGACAUAACUUGCCGUGGUAAACACUAAGCCGCCGUGUUAAUCCCUAAAGGACAAGUGCAUCAAUAUCGGUGCGUAUGUAAGAGUCGCUAUCUUUUCCCCUCUGUCUUCUAAUAUAAGUGUGUGCAAGACGCGGAACAAUGUUCCACUGGAUCUAUUAAGAAUACAGAUAAAAAAAUGAUACUCCCUCCAGUCCAUAUUUGUAACACCCAAUAUGCGACUAUACUCCAUACGUGUCGAGGCACGACUUGGGGUAUAAGCGCAUAUUGGUAUGUUUGCAAGAGUGGUAUCAGAGCCAAUCCCUCGCGGUUACAUGGAUGUUUGUGGACAGGUGCGCGGUCAUGUUGUUCAUGACAUUUGUGAUCCGUCGUGGCACACGGCAUGACACAUGUACCGGACUGGAUGCACAGACGUAUGUGUUAAGAGGGAACGUUCCUGUGGCCUGACGAGGACGUCAUUUCCUCUGAGUGGGGGUGUAUGUGAUAGCCUGGCUAAUUAGGGAUGGUAGACUACUAAUAUCAAUAAUGAAUUCCUUCUUUUACGGAAGCUCAUUUGGACAGAACUUUAAAGUUAAGUGUGCUCAGCUUGGAGUAAUUUCAGGAUGGAUGACCGACCGGAAAGUUGCUUCCGGGUGCGCACGAGUGAGGACAAAGUACACAGAAAAGACGUAUUGAUCUGUGGGACCAGUCUAAAUCCCGCCAGGAGUAACGACCACCGGCGGGAGUGUCCGGGACGUUACAAUAUUACUAGAUAUAGAUCGGAUGGAGUAAUAAUUCUUUUAAACAAUUAUAAUUAUUUUUAACAUAGAUGGUCGAGUGUUUUUCCCCAAAACUUUUGGUUUACUCAUCAUCAAUCAGGGCAGUACAAAAACAACACCAGGAAAUAGCAAAAAAAUACAUGUAGAUUUGUAAAACUGGCGUGAGGCAAAGGUGUGUCGUCAUGACCCCUCCCUCACCGUAUGUCGAAAUAGACAACCGAGGAGUCGUCUUACUAAGACCCGACAAAACCACGUACCAGAACGACAACCACUACCGAUGAAGAGAAGCGUAGAUAGAAAUGAUCCAACUUGUAUACAGAUAAAGGAAGACUGGAUCCGCGAAGUUCCACCGAAGAACAAUACCGAUCGAACCCCAUGAGAUCCACCAAAGACACACCUCUAUAAUCUAUAUGCACCACAACGACGCUGGGCACAGUGCCAAAACGAGGGCUAAGCACGGAGGAUCCUACUCCAUCUUCAAGGAAUCAUUGCCGCUGUCGGUGUCAAAACCGGCGGAUCUCGGGUAGGGGGUCCCAAACUGUGCGUCUAGGCCGGAUGGUAACAGGAGGCAGGGGACACAAUGUUUUACCCAGGUUUGGGCCCUCUUGAUGGAGGUAAAACUCUACGUCCUGCUUGAUUGAUAUUGAUGAUAUGGGUAGUACAAGAGUAGAUCUACCACGAGAUCAGAGAGGCUAAACCCUAGAAGCUAGCCUAUGGUAUGAUUGUUGUUCGUCCUACGGACUAAAACCCUCCGGUUUAUAUAGACACCGGAGAGGGCUAGGGUUACAUAGAGUCGGUUACAAUGGUAGGAGAUCUACAUAUCCGUAUCGCCAAGCUUGCCUUCCACGCCAAGGAAAGUCCCUUCCGGACACGGGACGAAGUCUUCGAUCUUGUAUCUUCAUAGUCCAGGAGUCCGGCCGAAGGUAUAGUCCGGCCAUCCGGACACCCCUUAAUCCAGGACUCCCUAAGUAGCCCCUGAACUAGGCUUCAAUGACGACGAGUCCGGCGCGCAGAUUGUCUUCGGCAUUGCAAGGCGGGUUCCUCCUCCAAGUACUUCAUAGAAGAUUUUUGAACACAAAGGUAGUGUCCGGCUCUGCAAAAUAAGUUUCCACAUAUUACCAUAAAGAGAAUAACAUUUACACAAAUCUAAUCUGCUGACGUAUUCCGUAGCGUGACAUCGCACCACGACCAAGUCUUUAUUCGAAUCGUUUUACCGUCCCACCUCAGGGCGUUUAGCGAGGCAGUUUCCUUGGCACGUCUUGUUAAAGCAAAGAAUUUGUCCCCUUAUUCCAGGAUUCUCAUCAAUACGGGCGUGGGUAACCCAACCGUACCCGUUGGUAUAUUUUCUCGACCAAAGGCGAGUCCCAAACGGUCAUGGGGAAGGCCCUUGGUAUUCAACCUCUUAUAAAGAGACCAAGGCCUUACUCCUUUCUUUCAAUCUCAAACGAGUUCGCCCUUCGCCUCGAGUUCCAACACCCAAGGCUCCAGAUUUCAGGCGCUUCGGACCUUCGACAAUGUCCGGUUCCGACCUUCGAGGCCGAUGGAUGCCCUCCUCCGUCAUGGAGGAGGACGUGCUGAAGUUGAGAGAGGCCAGGUUCUUGACCAGCGAAAUCUCGCAUAGGUUGCCUGCUCAAGGGCAGGUCAUUCCCACUCCCAAGCCUGGUGAGAGUGUGGUGUUUAUGUCUCACUUCCUUCGGGGGCUAGGAUUCCCGACUGAUCCCUUCGUGAGGGGGAUCAUGUUUUAUUAUGGGCUGGAAUUUCACAACUUAGCUCCGGAGUCCGUCCUCCAUAUUUCCUCGUUCAUCGUCGUGUGUGAAGCCUUCCUCCGUAUUACUCCUCACUUCGGACUAUGGCUCAAAACCUUCAAAGUAGAGCCGAAGAUGAUUGAGGGACGGCACGCAGAGUGUGGAGGUGCUUUUAUAAGCAAGAAUGCUGGUGCUCCAUGGACCGAGGGCUCUUUUCCAGGGGAGUCCAGCUUAUGGCAACGAGAGUGGUUUUAUAUCACACCUCCCAGGAGCACCAAGUGGGUGGCGCUGCCUCCUUUCCACUCGGGUCCCCGCCAUGACUGGCGUCAUGGGUCAAUACGGGGCUGGACUGGGGGCCGGCAAAGGACGUGCCCCUGUUGCAGGGCCGCAUCCGAGAUAUCCUAGAAAGAGACAUCAGUCUGGUCGUGGUGAUGCAAGCUAUGUUAAUUCGCCGAGUUCUACCCUGCAAACAUCGCCCCUCCGCCUGUGGGAGUUCAACCCGGAGGGACCACGAGUUCUCCAACAUUUUCUUGGCAUGACGCCCGUGGAGAUGUACAAAUUGUUCUUCGGACCACAAGUAGUGUGUCCGGAUUCUACGGAGGACGCAGGUCUAAGCUGCAAUCGUCCGGAUACUCAAGUAAGUAGCCUUGUGCCCGGACUCGCUAUCCGUAUAUCUAUCAUAAAAUUGCCCCUAAAAGAGUUGUCCUUUAAACAAGAGUGGAUAGAGAAAGCAAAGCUAAUCAGGUGUCCGGCCCCCUCCCCGAGACCACGCGCGGGUCCCGUGCUAGUCAGGAUGUUGGAGGUUGUGCCUUCAAAGGGAAGCGAGGGAGGGGACAAGGAAGCUACAACCUCCUCAAAGGAGGUUGUCCGGAAGGGAGGAAUCGAAAAUUCCUCUCCUCAGGGGAAGAAGAGGACCGCCUCUGAAGACCCGGAGACCAUGACCUUAAAGCGGGGGAAGAAAUCUUCGCCAGAGGGUCCUGUGCUGGGGGAUACUUCAGCCGAAUUAUGCCCUCAAGGGGAUCAGCCCUUCACCGAGCCGUAAGUAGAGAGAAGUUUUCUUUUUAAGAAACGAGAGAAAUCCCUGCUUUAUAUCUGAGAAGAGUAAUCGAAAAUUUACCUUGUAGCUCGGACCUUAGCCCUUCUCAGCAGAGCUCGUCUUCGGGGGAUCUUCUUGUUGGAAAUAUGCCCUAGAGGCAAUAAUAAAAGGAUUAUUAUUAUAUUUCCUUGUUCAUGAUAAUUGUCUUUUAUUCAUGCUAUAAUUGUGUUAUCCGAAAAUCGUAAUACAUUCGUGAAUACAUAGACACCAACAUGUCCCUAGUAAGCCUCUAGUUGACUAGCUCGUUGAUCAACAGAUAGUCGUGGUUUCCUGACUAUGGAUAUUGGAUGUCAUUGAUAACGAGAUCACAUCAUUAGGAGAAUGAUGUGAUGGACAAGACCCAAUCCUAAACAUAGCACAAGAUCGUAUAGUUCGUUUGCUAGAGUUUUUCCAAUGUCAAGUAUCUUUUCCUUAGACCAUGAGAUCGUGUAACUCCCGGAUACCGUAGGAGUGCUUUGGGUGUACCAAACGUCACAACGUAACUGGGUGACUAUAAAGGUAUACUACGAGUAUCUCCGAAAGUAUCUGUUGGGUUGACACGGAUCAAGACUGGGAUUUGUCACUCCAUAUGACGGAGAGGUAUGUCUGGGCCCACUCGGUAAUGCAUCAUCAUAAUGAGCUCAAAGUGACCAAGUGUCUGGUCACGGGAUCAUGCAUUACGGUACGAGUAAAGUGACUUGCCGGUAACGAGAUUGAACGAGGUAUUGGGAUACCGACGAUCGAAUCUCGGGCAAGUAAUGUACCGAUUGACAAAGGGAAUUGAAUACGAGAUUGCUUGAAUCCUCGACGUCGUGGUUCAUCCGAUGAGAUCAUCGAGGAGCAUGUGGGAGCCAACAUGGGUAUCCAGAUCCCGCUGUUGGUUAUUGACCGGAGAGUCGUCUCGGUCAUGUCUACAUGUCUCCCAAACCCGUAGGGUCUACACACUUAAGGUUCGGUGACGCUAGGGUUGUAUGGAUAUGAGUAUGCAGUAAUCCGAAAGUUGUUCGGAGUCCCGGAUGAGAUCCUAGACGUCACGAGGAGUUCCGGAAUUGUCCGGAGGUGAAGAAUUAUAUAUAGGAACUGUAGUUUCGGCCAUCGGGAAAGUUUCGGGGUCACCGGUAUUGUACCGGGACCACCGGAUGGGUCCCGGGGGUCCAUCGGGUGGGGCCACCCAUCCCGGAGGGCCCCAUGGGAUGAAGUGGGGAGGGGAACCAGCCCAUAGUGGGCUGGUGCACCCCCCCUUGGGCCCCCCAUGCGCCUAGGGUUGGGAACCCUAGGGGAGGGGGCGCCUCCACUUGCCUUGGGGGCUACUCCACCCCCUUGGCCGCCGCCCCCCCUAGGAGAUCCCAUCUCCUAGGGCCGGCGCACCCCCUAGGGGCCUAUAUAAAGGGGGGGAAGGGAGGGCAGCCGCACCUGAAGUCUUGGCGCCUCCCUCUACCCUGCUACACCUCUCCCUCUCGCAGAAGAACGGCGAAGCCCUGCUGCGGUGACUGCUGCAUCCACCACCACGCCGUCGUGCUGCUGGAUCUUCAUCAACCUCUCCUCCCCCCUUGUUGGAUCAAGAAGGAGGAGACGUCACGCUGACCGUACGUGUGUUGAACGCGGAGGUGCCGUCCGUUCGGCGCUAGGAUCUCCGGUGAUUUGGAUCACGUCGAGUACGACUCCCUCAUCCCCGUUCUCUUGAACGCUUCCGUGCGCGAUCUACAAGGGUAUGUAGAUGCACUCCCCUCUCGUUGCUAGAUGACUCCAUAGAUAGAUCUUGGUGAAACUUAGAGAAUUUUUUUUGUUUUCUGCAAUGUUCCCGAACAGUGGCAUCAUGAGCUUGGUCUAUGCGUAGUUACUAUGCACGAGUAGAACACAAAGUAGUUGUGGGCGUCGAUAUUGCCAAUUUGCUUGCCGUUACUAGUCUUAUCUUGAUUCGGCGGCAUCGUGGGAUGAAGCGGCCCGGACCAACCUUACACGUACGCUUAUGUGAGACCGGUUCCACGGACUGACAUGCACUAGUUGCAUAAGGUGGUUGGCGGGUGUCUGUCUCUCCCACUUUAGUCGGAUCGGGUUCGAUGAACAGGGCCCUUAUGAAGGGUAAAUAGAAAUUGGCAAUUCACGUUGUGGUUUUGGCGUAGGUAAGAAAACGUUCUUGCUAGAACCCUAUUGCAGCCACGUAAAAAACUUGCAACAACAAUUAGAGGACGUCUAACUUGUUUUUGCAGCAAGUGUUUUGUGAUGUGAUAUGGCCAAAGUUGUGAUGAAUGAUGAAUGAUAUAUAUGUGAUGUAUGAGAUCAUGUUCUUGUAAUAGGAAUCACGACUUGCAUGUCAAUGAGUAUGACAACCGGCAGGAGCCAUAGGAGUUGUCUUUAUUUUUUGUAUGACCUGCGUGUCAUUGAGAAACGUCAUGUAAAUUACUUUACUUUAUUGCUAAAUGUGUUAGCCAUAGUAGUAGAAGUAAUAGUUGGCGAGCAACUUCAUGGAGACACGAUGAUGGAGAUCAUGAUGAUGCAGAUCAUGGUGUCAAGCCGGUGACAAGAUGAUCAUGGAGCCCCAAGAUGGAGAUCAAAGGAAGCUAUAUGAUACUGGCCAUAUCAUGUCACUAUUAUUUGAUUGCAUGUGAUGUUUAUCAUGUUUUGCAUCUUGUUUACUUAGAACGACGGUAGUAAAUAAGAUGAUCCCUCAUAAUAAUUUCAAGAAAGUGUUCCCCCUAACUGUGCACCGUUGCGACAGUUCGUUGUUUCGAAGCACCACGUGAUGAUCGGGUGUGAUAGAUUCCAACGUUCACAUACAACGGGUGUAAGACAGAUUUACACAUGCAAACACUUAGGCUGACUUGACGAGUCUAGCAUGUACAGACAUGGCCUCGGAACACAGAAGACCGAAAGGUCGAGCAUGAGUCGUAUAGAAGAUACGAUCAACAUGAAGAUGUUCACCGAUGUUGACCAGUCUGUCUCACGUGAUGAUCGGACACGGCCUAGUUAACUUGGAUCAUGUUAUACUUAGAUGACUGGAGGGAUGUCUAUCCGAGUGGGAGUUCAUUGAAUAAUUUGAUUAUAUGAACUUAAUUAUCAUGAACUUAGUCUAAAAUCUUUACAACAUGUAUUGUAGAUCAAAUGGCCAACGUUGUCCUCAACUUCAACGCGUUGCUAGAGAAAACCAAGCUGAAAGACGAUGGCAGCAACUAUACAGACUGGGUCCGGAACCUGAGGAUCAUCCUCAUAGCUGCCAAGAAAGAUUAUGUCCUACAAGCACCGCUAGGUGAAGCGCCUGCUCUCCCUGCAGAACAAGACGUUAUGAACGCUUGGCACACACGUGCCGAUGAUUACUCCCUCGUUCAGUGUGGCAUGCUUUACAGCUUAGAGCCGGGGCUCCAAAAGCGUUUUGAGAGACACGGAGCAUAUGAGAUGUUCGAAGAGCUGAAAAUGGUUUUUCAAGCUCAUGCCCGGGUCGAGAGAUAUGAAGUCUCCGACAAGUUCUUCAGCUGUAAGAUGGAGGAAAACAGUUCUGUCAGUGAGCACAUACUCACUAUGUCUGGGUUACAUAACCGCUUGACUCAACUGGGAGUUAAUCUCCCAGAUGACGCGGUCAUUGACAGAAUCCUUCAGCCGCUUCCACCGAGCUAUAAGAGCUUUGUGAUGAACUUCAAUAUGCAGGGGAUGGAACAGACCAUUCCUGAAGUAUUUGCAAUGCUGAAAUCAGCAGAGGUAGAAGUCAAAAAGGAACAUCAAGUGUUGAUUGUGAAUAAAACCACUAAGUUCAAGAAAGGCAAGGGUAAGAAGAACUUCAAGAAGGACGGCAAGGGAGUUGCCGCGCCCGGUAAGCAAGCUGCCGGGAAGAAGCCAAAGAAUGGACCCAAGCCCGAGACUGAGUGCUUUUAUUGCAAGGGAAGUGGUCACUGGAAGCGGAACUGCCCCAAAUACUUAGCGGACAAGAAGGCCGGCAUCACGAAAGGUAUAUGUGAUAUACAUGUAAUUGAUGUGUACCUUACCAGUACUCGUAGUAGCUCCUGGGUAUUUGAUACCAGUGCAGUUGCUCACAUUUGUAACUCAAAGCAGGAGCUGCGGAAUAAGCGGAGACUGGCGAAGGACGAGGUGACGAUGCGCGUCGGGAAUGGUUCCAAGGUCGAUGUGAUCGCCGUCGGCACGCUACCUCUACAUUCACCUACGGGAUUAGUUUUAAACCUCAAUAAUUGUUAUUUAGUGCUAGCUUUGAGCAUGAACAUUGUAUCAGGAUCUCGUUUAAUUCGAGAUGGCUACUCAUUUAAAUCCGAGAAUAAUGGUUGUUCUAUUUAUAUGAGAGAUAUGUUUUAUGGUCAUGCUCCGAUGGUGAAUGGUUUAUUCUUAAUGAAUCUCGAACGUAAUGCUACACAUAUUCAUAGUGUGAAUACCAAAAGAUGUAAGAUUGAUAAUGAUAGUCCCACAUACUUGUGACACUGCCGCCUUGGUCACAUAGGUGUCAAACGCAUGAAGAAGCUCCAUGCAGAUGGACUUUUAGAGUCUCUUGAUUACGAAUCAUUUGACACGUGCGAACCAUGCCUCAUGGGUAAAAUGACCAAGACUCCGUUCUCAGGAACAAUGGAGCGAGCAACCAACUUAUUGGAAAUCAUACAUACUGAUCUGUGCGGUCCAAUGAGUGUUGAGGCUCGCGGUGGCUAUCGUUAUGUUCUCACCCUCACUGAUGACUUGAGUAGAUAUGGGUUUGUCUAUUUAAUGAAACACAAGUCUGAGACCUUUGAAAAGUUCAAGGAAUUUUAGAGUGAGGUUGAGAAUCAACGUGACAGGAAAAUCAAGUUCUUGCGAUCAGAUCGUGGGGGAGAAUACUUGAGUCACGAAUUUGGCACACACUUAAGAAAAUGUGGAAUAGUUUCACACCUCACGCCGCCUGAAACACCUCAGCGUAAUGGUGUGUCCGAACGUCGUAAUCGCACUCUAUUAGAUAUGGUGCGAUCUAUGAUGUCUCUUACCGAUUUACCUCUAUCAUUUUGGGGCUAUGCUUUAGAGACUGCCGCAUUCACUUUAAAUAGGGCUCCGUCGAAAUCCGUUGAGACGACACCGUAUGAAUUAUGGUUUGGGAAGAAACCUAAGCUGUCAUUUCUAAAAGUUUGGGGAUGCGAUGCUUAUGUCAAGAAACUUCAACCUGAAAAGCUCGAACCCAAGUCAGAAAAAUGCGUCUUCAUAGGAUACCCUAAAGAAACUAUUGGGUAUACCUUCUACCUCAGAUCCGAAGGCAAGAUCUUUGUUGCCAAGAAUGGAUCCUUUCUAGAGAAAGAGUUUAUCUCGAAAGAAGUAAGUGGGAGGAAAGUAGAACUUGAUGAAGUAUUACCUCUUGAACCGGAAAGUGGCGCAACUCAAGAAAAUGUUCCUGAGGUGCCUGCACCGACUAGAGAGGAAGUUAAUGAUGAUGAUCAUGAAACUUCAGAUCAAGUUGCUACUGAACUUCGUAGGUCCACAAGGACACGUUCCGCACCAGAGUGGUACGGCAACCCUGUCUUGGAAAUCAUGUUGUUAGACAACGGUGAACCUUCGAACUAUGAAGAAGCGAUGGCGGGCCCGGAUUCCGACAAAUGGCUGGAAGCCAUGAAAUCCGAGAUAGGAUCCAUGUAUGAAAACGAAGUAUGGACUUUGACUGACUUGCCCGUUGAGCGGCGAGCCAUAGAAAAUAAAUGGAUCUUUAAGAAGAAGACAAACGCGGAUGGUAAUGUGACCAUCUAUAAAGCUCGGCUUGUCGCUAAGGGUUAUCGACAAGUUCAAGGGGUUGACUACGAUGAGACUUUCUCAUCCAUAGCGAAGCUGAAGUCCGUCCGAAUCAUGUUAGCAAUUGCCGCAUUCUAUGAUUAUGAGAUAUGGCAAAUGGACGUCAAAACGGCAUAUCUUAAUGGUUUCCUUAAGGAAGAAUUGUAUAUGAUGCAGCCGGAAGGUUUUGUCGAUCCUAAGAAUGCUGACAAGGUGUGCAAGCUCCAAUGCUCGAUUUAUGGGCUGGUGCAAGCAUCUCGGAGUUGGAACUUUCGCUUUGAUGAGAUGAUCAAAGCGUUUGGGUUUAUGCAGACUUAUGGAGAAGACUGCGUUUACAAGAAAGUGAGUGGGAGCUCUGUAGCAUUUUUCAUAUUAUAUGUAGAUGACAUACUUUUGAUGGGAAAUGAUAUAGAACUUUUGGACAGCAUUAAGGCCUACUUGAAUAAGAGUUUUUCAAUGAAGGACCUUGGAGAAGCUGCUUAUAUAUUAGGCAUCAAGAUCUAUAGAGAUAGAUCAAGACGCCUCAUAGGUCUUUCACAAAGCACAUACCUUGAUAAGAUAUUGAAGAAGUUCAAUAUGGAUCAGUCUAAGAAGGGGUUCUUGCCUGUGUUGCAAGGUGUGAAAUUGAGCUCAGCUCAAUGUCCGACCACGACAGAAGAUAUAGAAGAGAUGAGUGUCAUCCCCUAUGCCUCAGCCAUAGGGUCUAUUAUGUAUGCCAUGCUGUGUACCAGAUCUGAUGUAAACCUUGUCGUAAGUUUGGUAGGUAGGUACCAAAGUAAUCCCGGCAAGGAACACUGGACAGCGGUCAAGAAUAUCCUGAAGUACCUGAAAAGGACUAAGACAUGUUUCUCAUUUAUGGAGGUGACGAAGAGCUCAUCGUAAAGGGUUACAUCGACGCUAGCUUCGACACAGAUCUGGAUGACUCUAAGUCACAAACCAGAUACGUGUAUAUGUUGAAUGGUGGAGCAGUAAGCUGGUGCAGCUGCAAGCAGAGCGUCGUGGCGGGAUCUACAUGUGAAGCGGAGUACAUGGCAGCCUCGGAGGCAGCGCAUGAAGCAAUUUGGGUGAAGGAGUUCAUCACCGACCUACGAGUCAUACCCAAUGCGUCGGGGCCGAUCAAACUCUUCUGUGACAACACUGGAGCUAUUGCACUUGCCAAGGAGCCCAGGUUUCACAAGAAGACCAGGAACAUCAAGCGUCGCUUCAACUCCAUUCGUGAAAAUGUUCAAGAUGGAGACAUAGAUAUUUGUAAAGUACAUACGGAUCUAAAUGUCGCAGAUCCGUUGACUAAACCUCUCCCUAGGGCAAAACAUGAUCAACACCAGAACUCUAUGGGUGUUCGAUUCAUCACAAUGUAACUAGAUUAUUGACUCUAGUGCAAGUGGGAGACUGUUGGAAAUAUGCCCUAGAGGCAAUAAUAAAAGGAUUAUUAUUAUAUUUCCUUGUUCAUGAUAAUUGUCUUUUAUUCAUGCUAUAAUUGUGUUAUCCGAAAAUUGUAAUACAUGUGUGAAUACAUGGACACCAACAUGUCCCUAGUAAGCCUCUAGUUGACUAGCUCGUUGAUCAACAGAUAGUCGUGGUUUCCUGACUAUGGACAUUGGAUGUCAUUGAUAACGAGAUCACAUCAUUAGGAGAAUGAUGUGAUGGACAAGACCCAAUCCUAAAAAUAGCACAAGACCGUAUAGUUCAUUUGCUAGAGUUUUUCCAAUGUCAAGUAUCUUUUCCUUAGACCAUGAGAUCGCGUAACUCCCGGAUACCGUAGGAGUGCUUUGGGUGUACCAAACGUCACAACGUAACUGGGUGACUAUAAAGGUAUACUACGGGUAUCUCGGAAAGUAUCUGUUGGGUUGACACGGAUCAAGACUGGGAUUUGUCACUCCAUAUGACAGAGAGGUAUCUCUGGGCCCACUCGGUAAUGCAUCAUCAUAAUGAGCUCAAAGUGACCAAGUGUCUGGUCACGGGAUCAUGCAUUACAGUACGAGUAAAGUGACUUGCCGGUAACGAGAUUGAACGAGGUAUUGGGAUACCGACGAUCGAAUCUCCGGCAAGUAACGUACCGAUUGACAAAGGGAAUUGAAUACGGGAUUGCUUGAAUCCUCGACGUCGUGGUUCAUCCGAUGAGAUCAUCGAGGAGCAUGUGGGAGCCAACAUGGGUAUCUAGAUCCCGCUGUUGGUUAUUGACCGGAGAGUCGUCUCGAUCAUGUCUACAUGUCUCCCGAACCCGUAGGGUCUACACACUUAAGGUUCGGUGACGCUAGGGUUGUAUGGAUAUGAGUAUGCAGUAAUCUGAAAGUUGUUCGGAGUCCCGGAUGAGAUCCUGGACGUCACGAGGAGUUCCAUAAUUUUCCGGAGGUGAAGAAUUAUAUAUAGGAAGUGUAGUUUCGGCCAUCGGGAAAGUUUCGGGGUCGCCGGUAUUGUACCGGGACCACCGGAUGGGUCCCGGGGGUCCACCGGGUGGGGCCACCCAUCCCGGAGGGCCCCAUGGGCUGAAGUGGGGAGGGGAACCAGCCCAUAGUGGGCUGGUGCGCCCCCCCUGGGCCCCCCAUGCGCCUAGGGUUGGGAACCCUAGGGGAGGGGGCGCCUCCACUUGCCUUGGGGGCUACUCCACCCCCUUGGCCGCCGCCGCCCCUAGGAGAUCCCAUCACCUAGGGACGGCGCACCCCCUAGGGGGCCUAUAUAAAGGGGGGAGGGAGGGCAGCCGCACCUGAAGUCUUGGCGCCUCCCUCUUCCCUGCUACACCUCUCCCUCUCGCAGAAGAACGACGAAGCCCUGCUGCGGUGACUGCUGCAUCCACCACCACGCCGUCGUGCUGCUGGAUCUUCAUCAACCUCUCCUUCCCCCUUGCUGGAUCAAGAAGGAGGAGACGUCACGCUGACCGUACGUGUGUUGAACGCGGAGGUGCCGUCCGUUCGGCGCUAGGAUCUCCGGUGAUUUGGAUCAUGUCGAGUACGACUCCCUCAUCCCCGUUCUCUUGAACGCUUCCGCGCGCGAUCUACAAGGGUAUGUAGAUGCACUCCCCUCUGGUUGCUAGAUGACUCCAUAGAUAGAUCUUGGUGAAAUGUAGAGAAAUUUUUUUGUUUUCUGCAACGUUCCCCAACACUUCUUCCGGAGAUGAUGGAGAGCAGAACGCCUCCCCCUGCCGUGCCGCCUUGCGAGGCGGGCGACCCUGAGGUAUCAUCACGGAGGGUUUCUUCGAAUCCGGCGGGGCCGGAAGGUAGUCAUAUGGCCCCCCAAAGCCCUCCGCGUCCGGCCUUCGAAAAGGGCCAUUGGACGAGUCCCGCGCCGUCCGGUGCACGGUCGGAGGAGCUGAAGGAUCUGCUAGGGCGUGCAUCUAUCUCAGAGGAGCACCGUGCCUUGAUGGGUACGGUGAUUGAGAGGAUUUCAUCCGCGGAGAGCGUAUUGCACGAGGCCGUCAGGAGUUUACUGACAAGUUUUGAGGUACGCGAAAUAAUGUACCCUUUUUGGAUAGUUGCGCGUAAAUAAGAUGCGCCCUGUGUAGAUAGUAGCCCCUGAGACUCUGCGCGUUGUCAAAAGUGAUGGCGCGCAGAGGAUCAUAAUCCCAGGUGUCGGUGUCAAAACCGGCGGAUCUCGGGUAGGGGGUCCCGAACUGUGCGUCUAGGCCGGAUGGUAACAGGAGACAGGGGACACUUUGUUUUACCCAGGUUCGGGCCCUCUCGAUGGAGGUAAUACCCUACUCCUGCUUGAUUAAUAUUGAUGAUAUCGGUAGUACAAGAGUAGAUCUACCACGAGAUCAAGGAGGCUAAACCUUAGAAGGUAGCCUAUUGUAUGAUUGUUGUGUAUGGAGUUGAUUGCCUACGGACUACAACCCUCCGGUUUAUAUAGACACCGGAUAGGGUUAGGAUUACACAGAGUCGGUUACAAUGGUAGGAGAUCUUGAAUAUCCGCACCGCCAAGCUUGCCUUCCACGCCAAGGAAAGUCCCAUCCGGACACGGGACGAAGUCUUCAAUCUUGUAUCUUCAUAGUCCAGGAGUCCGAUCGAAGGUAUAGUCGGGCUACCCGAACACCCCCUAAUCCAGGACUUCCUCAGUAGCCCCCGAACCAGGCUUCAAUGACGAUGAGUCCGACGUGCAGAUUGUUCGACAUUGCAAGGCGGGUUCCUCUCCAAAUCUUGUGUACCUGUAGGAAUAAUGUCCGAUUUUUGUAAUGUAGUGCUCCUCGGCUUCCAUACCCAAUAAUGGCCGUCUUCCACGUGUUCAAACAAAUGCGAAAAGCCAGGGCAUUUUUACAUCCACACCCCUAGCCGUAUAAACGAUCCGCCUAUUUAACGGGAUGGGGAUUUAGGUCCAAACCACAUCUUCUCCUUUCCGCGAGUUAUCAUCAGAGCGCUUCCAGCAAAGGUCCAUUCCAUCAUGACCAGCCGUCGCAGCUCCUCCCCUCGCCCCUCCGGUCCCAAACCCGGGGACUGGGAGAGUUGCACCAUCCUGCACAGCAAGUUAGCGUCACUUCAGGCCAAGGGAUUCCUCCCUCAGGCAUGUAUGGUCCCGGUCCGAGCCGGUCUCGCCACCUAUAAUGGCGGAAAACAAGCGGAGAGCACCCCCAAUCCUUCUAAAGGAGAGCGGGUGUGCCUUGUCCCUUAUCUAAUGAGGGGACUGGGAUUUCCAAUUCACCCAUUUCUCCGCGGGCUUCUGGAGUUCUACGGCCUCCAGCUGUACAAUCUCACGCCCGCCUCCGUAUUACACAUUGCGGGUUUCGUCGCCCUUUGCGAGCUAUUUUUAGGCGUUGAGGCUCAUUUCGCGCUGUGGAAGAGGUUAUUCUGCCUGGUGCCCCGUUCUGAAAAGGGGUCUAUAUAUCAAGUUGGCGGAGCCGAAGUAUGGCGCAUCGCCGGGACCGGAUACCUAUCUGGAACCCCAAAGAAGGCAUCCGAGGACUGGCCUUCGGAAUGGUUUUACAUAGAUGACGUCCCGCCACCGGACCCUAUCCGGGUCGGUCUCCCUGAGUUCAACAGUGCUCCAUUGAAGAAACGCUUGAGCUGGCAUCCGCGGAGCUCUCAGAGAGAAAGUGAUAGGGACGUCCUUUACCUGAUGGGCCGGAUAAGACUAUUGGCUCAUUCCGGACUAACCAUGAUUGGAGUCAUGGCCGCAUGCAUUAUGCGGGGGGUGCAGCCGCUUCAAUAUAGAGGCCACCCCAUGUGGGAUUUCAACGGGGAGGAUGACGCCACACGUUACGGUCGUAAGGGGCCGGACUCAUCCGCCGCCUUAGUAAAGAUCUUAUCCUCUUUGUAUAAGGGAGAAAAGAAGGAAUUCCUUCGCGUCAAUCCGCAUGCCGGAUUCAGUAUGUACGAUCCUCCAAGUUGGGUAAGUGAACAAUUGCACUUGCCCGUUUGUUUUAUCUCCCAUGGUUAGAUAGGUAGUCUAACGACUUCAAUGCAGGAACUGCGACAGGAGGUAAAGGACAUAAGCAGCCGCCCUCCACAGCCCGAGGACCCAGAACGGUCCCUCAAUCCGGACUCCGAAGAGGAUCCGGACAUAACGGUGGAUCUUAUCGACGGGGUGUUCCAUCAGCUAAGCAAGGACAAUACCUUGGUAGCCAUCAUGGCUGAUUACCCAGGGUUAAUUUCGGUCUCCCAGGUGACAGAAACCGGAGUCUCAUUCCCUUGAGAGAGAUUGCACUCUCGCGUAUUCCGGUGUUUCUGACGACAACCAUGUUUUGCAGGAGAGUUUUCCGAGGUAGGAGGCCGAACCUGCGGCGGCUAGCCAACGAGGGGCCGCCGGCCCCUGGGGCAAAAAGGAAUGAAGUCCGGACUGAGAUGCCGGCGCAAAGGUAUAGCGCACCCUCUGUUUCCCUGGUGUUAUUCUGUCAGGGCAUAUUUAACGUUCGCGAUAUCUUCAGAACGAAGAGACCUCGCUGGACUACAUCCGGAGAGGUUGCCAAUCGCUCCUCCACCAGCCAGGCUCCAACGGCUGGCCAGGAAGCGGAGGCGAGCACAAGGCGCGUACCAGACGCUCCUCUGAUAGAGGAUGAGGACAGGCUGUCUGUCACAAAUUCUGAAGUGGAGAGUGCCAUGAACCACAGGCGUCGCCAGACAGUUCUACGCGACGCUUGUUUCUCCCAAGAGGCUUUAGAUGCCUUUAAUUCGGGAUAUGCGUACCUCCGUGCCGCUCAAAAUGGUUUAGCCAGAGCCAAGGAGCAGUAUGUAAAAGACAUACGGGUAAGAAAAUUUUGGUCAAAUGUAUAUAUACCAGUAGCCCCAGAGACUUGAAACAGUUAGAACAACUGAUUUAAGGAUCUUUUAAUUAUGCAGGUUCUUACAGAGAAGAAUAUUGUACUGUCCCAGGAGCUGGAAAAGUGCAAGGCCCAACUAAAGGCCGCACUAGCCGCGGCAGGGGAGUCCAAAGAGACCCCCUCAGGUAAGAUACACUUCGAAAGAUUAGUAUUGUGUGGUGUGGGUGUGAAUCUGACAAAUCAUAUUGCAGAUGGCGCCGGACUCGAUCCGGACAAACAACAACUCUUACGCCAGCUAAAGGCCGGUGAGAGUAUGUUGACAAGGGUGAGGCGAGAGAAGAAUGAUCUUCAGGAUGCCAACACCAAGUUGGACGUCGAACUUAAAGAUGUUCGUGGCCAGCUGUCGGACUCCACGAAGGAGAAUCAGCGGCUUCGAUGCGGCAUUUUUAGUAAGUGCUUGAACGAACUUUGAAAAAAGAGUUCGGCGAAGAAGUCGACUAACAGAGUAAUGUCUGUAGGUAUGCUCACAGGUCGUCCUGCAGAGGAGAUGCCCGGUUCUACGGGUGACCUUCGUCCCGAACUCAUGCAACUGCACGAGCAAAUUCGGCAGGCGAUGCGGGGUGUUGCCCCAGCCUUAUGGCCUGCCCACUCCAUGCCCGAGGGCCUUGGAGAGCUUGCGGAGAAGCUGAAGGGAGCUCGGCGACGCUUCCGGUUAUGGAAGAUAUCGGCCUGCCGACAAGGCGCUAGGGAAGCCUGGGCCAUGGUGAAGACCCGUUUUACAAAGUCUGACCCAAACCACAUGGCCGAGGGCGGACCAGUGGGGCCUUACGGGAAGGAGAUCCUUGUGAGCUUAGUAUACGGCCAAGUAAAGUUGGCCGGGAAGUAUUCCCAGCAGGACUAUAAAUUAGAUAGCCUGUUAGAUGGUAUAGAAGAGGAAUACAAUCAGUCAGAAUGACUAUGUAAUUUUGAAUUGACAUGUGUAAUGCCUUCUAGCCGGAUUGUAGAUCGUUUGUCGUUGCCGACCUUUUAGCUUCGACCUCGGGACCUAACGGUCCGGAGUGUGUCCGAAUACCAUAGCGGUUAUAUAAGAACCGUAGUAUGCGUGGAGACCAGGCGUAGGGGUCAUUAGUGCUUUAUCAGACAAGUGCCCAACUAGUUAUGUUAUAUUACAUGGUUAGUAAGAAACAUCUUCCAGAGAGAAUAGUUCCUUUAGGGGUUCCUUUUGCUGGGAGGCAUGCCCUAAAGUGCAUGUCCGGACUGCGUAAAAAGACGCAGAAAAAAGCAUCUGGGGGCGCAUAUAAAAAAGAAAAAAGAUCAUCUUUUAUCUCAACGACCGAAUAUUCCCUUAAGAACGCUAGCUUUCGGCUUCACCCAGUCUGAGGUACACAUCCGGCUGACCCGGCAGUAACAAUCGCAGAGGUGCUCCCUUUACCACCUAGCCGAACAAUCGGGAACGUAGGGGUAAGCACAGGAGCCAGGCAAUCCAGCUUGGCCAAAACUUAAGUCAUAUCGAUGCAAUAAUGGUGAAGAAAAAGGUACAUGCGGAAGUUUGACGCAUGUGUUGGGCGUGAAGCCCGUAUAAAUAAGCUUCUGUUAAAGAAGCCCCCAGGUUUAAUGAGCGCGAGUGGCGCGUCACUAGGUAAGCCUUUAAGGGCUAUAAAAGAAAAGAGGGGAAGGAGAGAAAUGUAAGACAGAAAAAUGCAAAAAAUGGACAGAGGAAGGAGACGAACACAGAGUCCGGCGCUAGGCGUAGAAUCUUCGGAGACGGGUGGUGUUCCGCGGGUUCGGCUCGAGUCGGUUAUCUGACGCAUCUCGCAGGCGGUACGCCCCGCCAGUCAGGACUUGGUCGAUUAUGAAUGGACCUUCCCACAUGGGUUUGAGUUUGUCCUUUUUCUUAUCCGACAGGCGUAGAACUAGUUCGCCAACAUUGUAAUUUUUGGCCCGUACUUCUCUGCUUUGAUAUCUUCGGGCCUGCUGUUGAUAAAAUGCGGAACGGGCUUUUGCCACGUCGCGCUCCUCCUCCAGGGCGUCCAAGUUGUCCCGCCGAUCGAGCUCGGCUUCUCUUUCUUCGUACAUGCACACUCUAGGUGAGUCAUGAAUUAUGUCGUAGGGCAGAACUGCCUCUGUCGUACACCAUAAAAAAUGGUGUGUAUUCGGUGGUGCGAUUUGGCGUGGUCCGCAGCCCCCAUAGCAUGGAGUCGAGCUCCUCUACCCAGUGCGUGUUAGAUUCCUUGAGGGACCGCACCAGUCUGGGUUUAAUGCCGCUCAUUAUAAGACCAUUUGCACGUUCGACCUGGCCGUUGGUUUGUGGGUGAUAGACGGAAGCAUAAUCGAGCUUGAUGCCCAUGUUUUUGCACCAGAGUUUUACCUCGUCGGCGGUAAAGUUUGUACCGUUAUCGGUUAUGAUGCUAUGGGGGACGCCAUAGCGGUGUACCACCCCGGAUAUGAAGUCUAUCACAGGUCCGAAUUCGACCGUUUUAACAGGCUUGGCUUCUAUCCAUUUGGUGAAUUUGUCCACCAUGACCAGUAAGUAUUUUUUUCCUAUCGGUCCCACCUUUAAGGGGUCCGACCAUGUCAAGCCCCCAGACCGCAAAAGGCCAGGUGAUGGGUAUAGUUUGGAGUGCAGUGGGUGGCAUAUGGCUUUAGAUGGCAAAAAGUUGGCAACCAGCGCAUCGUUGGACUAAGUCCUGAGCGUCUGCCCGGGCCGUCGGCCAAUAAAAGCCUGUACGGAAAGCCUUGCUAACAAGGGACCGAGCAGCAGCGUGGUGACCACCGAGUCCGGCAUGAAUUUCAGCCAGAAGGUUCCGCCCUUCCUCUUCGGAGAUGCACCUUUGAAGGACUCCGGAUCACUAGCUAGGGUGAUAAUUCCGUUCGGCCCGGGAAUCUUAAGCUUCAUGUACCCGUAAUGGGGUAUUGCUUGGAAGAUUGUGAAUGCUUCCCGUCCCAGUAAAGCGUGAUGUCCACUCUUAAACGGGGCCACUUGAAACGUGACUUCUUCGGACCUGUAAUUAUCCGGCAUGCCGAACACCACAUCUAGUGUGAUUUUUCCUGUGCAGCGCGCUUCCCGACUGGGGAUUAUUCCUCUAAAGGUUGUGCUGCUUCGCUCGACGCGGCUCCAGUCUAUUUCCAUUUUUUGAAGGGUUUCCUCAUAAAUGAGGUUCAGUCCGCUGCCUCCAUCCAUGAGCACCUUGGUGAGGCGAAAGCCGUCCACUAUGGGACUGAGGACCAAUGCGGCUGGUGCUCGGGCUGUUCAGAAUUUAGGUUCAUCACUUGCGUUGAAGGUAAUGGCAGUGUCGCUCCAUGGAUUUAUUGUUGCAACUUGAUAGACUUCGGCGAGGCUGCGGAGUGUUCUUUUUCGCCUAUUGUUUGAUGUGAAAGUCUCGAAGACCGUGAGAACGGUACUGGUGUUCUCGGGCUGGUUUUCUGCGGCCUCCAGGAUUAAGAGAUCCUCGCCAAUUUUGGCCACCUGCGGAGUAUCCAACAUGCUCUAAGGUUGUGAGUUGGUGUGGCGUCCUCUGUACUAUGAAUUCUACAGGGUCCAUCAAGCCACCUUUCCAGUACAGUUCCAUGCCCUGUAGAGGGUUUUGGCUUUUUGGUGUUUAUCCCGGGUGUCCUAUGAUGAUGCACCCUCUUAGUUCGGACGGGGUUACUAUUCAAGGCCGGAUUAUCCCAAAAUUUUAUUUCGGUUUUCCAGGCGCUUUCCAUCGCACAAUAUUUUUGUACUAUGGACGCCAAGUCAGCGAAGCGUGUAAUAUCACGGCGACUUACGGCGUUAAGGAUUCCCUCGUCCGUGUAAUUACUGCAAAAAAUUGAGAUUGCGUCUUCCCCGCGGCAAUCCUUUAUCCUGUUCAUAACCAGGAGGAAUCUGGCCCAGUAAUGAUGUACUGUUUCCUCGGGCUGCUGGAUCUUCAUCAAUCCUUUACGCCGUCGUGCUGCUGGAUCUUCAUCAACCUCUCCUUCCCCCUUGCUGGAUCAAGAAGGAGGAGACGUCACGUUAACCGUACGUGUGUUGAACGCGGAUGUGCCGUCCGUUCAGCGCUAGGAUCUCCGGUGAUUUGGAUCACGUCGAGUACGACUCCCUCAUCCCCGUUCUCUUAAACGCUUCCGCGUGCGAUAUACAAGGGUAUGUAGAUGCACUCCCCUCUCGUUGCUAGAUGACUCCAUAGAUAGAUCUUGGUGAAACGUAGAGAAAUUUUUUUGUUUUCUGCAACGUUCCCCAACACUUCUUCCGGAGAUGAUGGAGAGCAGAACGCCUCCCCCUGCCGUGCCGCCUUGCGAGGCGGGCGACCCUGAGGUAUCAUCACGGAGGGUUUCUUCGAAUCCGGCGGGGCCGGAAGGUAGUCAUAUGGCCCCCCAAAGCCCUCCGCGUCCGGCCUUCGAAAAGGGCCAUCGGGCGAGUCCCGCGCCGUCUGGUGCACGGUCGGAGGAGCUGAAGGAUCUGCUAGGGCGAGCAUCUAUAUCAGAGGAGCACCGGGCCUUGAUGGGUACGGUGAUUGAGAGGAUUUCAUCCGCGGAGAGCGUAUUGCACGAGGCCGUCAGGAGUUUACUGACAAGUUUUGAGGUACGCGAAAUAAUGUACCCUUUUUGGAUAGUUGCGCGUAAAUAAGAUGCGCCCUGUGUAGAUAGUAGCCCCUGAGACUCUGUGCGUUGUCAAAAGUGAUGGCGCGCAGAGGAUCAUAAUCCCAAGUGUCGGUGUCAAAACCGGCGGAUCUCGGGUAGGGGGUCCCGAACUGUGCGUCUAGGCCGGAUGGUAACAGGAGACAGGGGACACUUUGUUUUACCCAGGUUUGGGCCCUCUCGAUGGAGGUAAUACCCUACUCCUGCUUGAUUAAUAUUGAUGAUAUGGGUAGUACAAGAGUAGAUCUACCACGAGAUCAAGGAGGCUAAACCUUAGAAGCUAGCCUAUGGUAUGAUUGUUGUGUAUGGAGUUGAUUGCCUAUGGACUACAACCCUCCGGUUUAUAUAGACACCGGAUAGGGUUAGGAUUACACAGAGUCGGUUACAAUGGUAGGAGAUCUUGAAUAUCCGCACCGCCAAGCUUGCCUUCCACGCCAAGGAAAGUCCCAUCCGGACAUGGGACGAAGUCUUCAAUCUUGUAUCUUCAUAGUCCAGGAGUCCGGUCGAAGGUAUAGUCCGGCUACCCGAACACCCCCUAAUCCAGGACUCCCUCACCAGGUCUAACAUGCCGCCUUCAUACGUAGGUGGUGAAGUGUCCGGUGGCCAGCCGGACUGAUGAAUUUGCCGAGCUAAAGCGGCAACUUGAUGUGGCAGAUGCCGACAUCGUGCUUGUCAACAAGCGGCUUGACGAGGCACAAGGUAUAUAAUUACUCCGGCGGCACCUGGUAAGAGGAGCUUUAUGCCAGUAUCUUACAAUGUGUGCGCUUGAUGCAGAUGAUGCUUCUGCCAUGGAGAAUCUUCGGGCGGAGCUUGCCCGAGCCAAGGAGCAAGCCAGGAAAAGUGAUGCGGCUGCCGGAAAGGCAAUUGAAGAGUUGAAAGCCGAACAGGCUGCUCACUGCCGAAGCAAGAAGGAAAUGGCCAAGAUGGCCGUGAAGCUGAAGAACGCUGCUGACCGUUGCAAGCUUCUUGAAAAAGAAGAUCGGGCGGAACAGACGGACCUGAAUAAGGCCGUUGCCGAUGCCAAGGAUGCUCGCUCUGCGAUGAGAGCUAUGAAGGAGGAGCUGCGUCAGACCGGAGAGAUCGCGGUUGGAAAGCCCUUUAUGCUGCGGAGGAAGUUCUGUGAUCCUAAACAUGCUCCGUUAGACCAGAUGUGGAGUACGGCGGACACCUAUCUGGAUUUGGCAGCGAGUGCCGCAGAUGCGGCCGAACACUUCCGAGAUCAAGAAGAUCGCGAAGUGGAAAAGCUCUUCUGGUCGUAGUUCCACAAUCCAGAGCGUCCACUGUCAUUAGCCGAUCAUUUGGCCGAAUGGGCCGAGCUAAAUAGGUUGUCCGGACUCGCCAUGAAGUAUGUCAUGAGUCAUCUAUGGCCAGAGAGGCCAGAGCCGAAAAGUUAUUUCAACUUGGUGCAGCAGUUCCUUGGUGCGGCGCCGCAUAUCAAUGCGAUGAAGAGGUCAGCGUGCAUAGAGGGUGCGCAGAUGGCUCUUGCCCGUGUCAAGACAUACUGGGCGGAAAUGGAAGCCACCGCUGUUGCAUCCCCAGACUCGGAUGGAAGCCGAGUACCUGCCGAGCACUAUUUUCAGAAAGUUCUGCAAGGCGCUCGUUUGAUAGAGACGCAGUGCUCGAAGGAUACUAUAUUCGAAUAGCAUAUAUUAUUGUAAAACAAUAUUUUGAUAAAUUGUAGAAGCUUUUUAUACUUGUGCCUGCAAGUAUUAUGAUACCUCCUGUGCGGCCGUUUAACAUAUAUGUAUAUAUAAUCUGAAAGAUGGCAGUCGUCGGCUUCAGCCCCCACACACAUAAUGCGGCGGUGUUCGCAGAAGGCGCAUUUUCACACUUGAUCCAAUGUCUUGGUCCUACAAAGGAGGUGAUAGCGCAGCGAACUAGACAAUCGGACUAUGAUGCUUUAUCACUUUCACUUAGCCAUAGGAGUUUGACAGUGAGGCUACUUAUAUAGCCCCUGGUGGCAUCUGCGCUCGCCCUAACUCGGGGCGCGUAUGUGCCUGGCCGGGAAACGGCCCUUCGUUAAUGCGGAGGAAUCCUAAAGAUUCCGGUAAGUCAUCGAGUGGUUGACCAGUCUCACGCUAUAUCAUGAUAGUCAGUUUUCGGCUUUCUCUACUGAGGUGCUCGCCUGGCCGAACCGGGGCACAAUCGCAGUAGUUCUCCUGGUGCCGCCUUAGACGAUAGAGCGGAACGUAAGGCAGCAAAACACAGGAGCCGGGCAAACCCAACAUUUGACCAAAGACAUGAUUCGGAGCUGAUGCAUAUAAGGCCAAACUCGCGACGCCGAACACUCCCUAAGGUAUUCGGUCUUUAUGAGGGCGGGCGGGAUAACGCCCUUAGUAAUAAGCUCCUAGUGUCCAGGUACGCGCAAAACUCGACGUGGCCACAUGCCAAAAUGCUAGCCUCCUCCUUGGUUAUACCAAGAAACCAGGGGAUGUGUAUCAACAAGAGACAGUAAAAAAGGUUUACGCAGGGUCUUAUUCUGAAAAGAAUCCUUAGAACGGGUCCCUGCUGCACGUCUGCGCCUGUGUCUCCGUUGUGCUGUAUCCUGGACGGGCGUAGCACGGUGUUCAUCUGUAAAAAGAGAGGAACUUAGUUGAAGAAAAAUCAUGCCGAACAUAAGUUAUACUAAAUAAACAAAGUAUAAAUCGAAAUGGGUAACAUUGAGCUUUAUUGUCUCUUCUUUUAUAUGCGCGGAGCCCCUAGUACAGGGGUAUACGGCUAUUAAGCCUUUAUCAAUUUUAUGUUUAUGCCGGACUCGUCUAGCUGUGUCCGUGGUCUUGACGACCUGUUUAGGUGCUUUGGCUGGUGAAGCCGCUUUAUUGUGGGGCUGUCAAGGCAGCCGCACUGUCUUCCGCGCAAGAGGAACACUCAAUGUUUUCCCUUUAAUGAGAUGAUGCCUCGUGGACCAGACAUCUUAAGCGUAAGAGAUGCAUAAUGCGGUAUUACGUUAAAGUGGGCGAAAGCUUCGCGUCCCAGCAGUGCUUGAUAGCUACUUGAGAAUGGGGCGAUGUGGAAAGUUAUCUGUUCGCGACAGAAGUUAUCGGGGGAGCCGAACAUAACUUCUAGCCGGAGAGAACCCAUACAGCGGGCAUCCGGGCCUGGCGUUACCCUUGAAAGGAGGUUUUGCUAUGGCGAAUUUUUGUUGGGUCUAUCCCCAUGUUGCGGAUUGUGUCCUGGUAUAACAGGUUUAGACCACUGUCGCCAUCCAUCAGGACAUUUGUAAAGUGUAGUCCGCCGAUUAUUGGAUCUAAUCCCAAGGUAGUCCAGCCUACGUUCCGGAUACGUCUAGAGUAAUCCUAAUGAUCGAAGGUGAUUGGUUUUAACAACCAUUGGCGAGACUCCUUUGGGAUAGGCCGUAUGGCGCGUAUCUCUGGUGGCGUCGUUCUGUUCGUCACGUGAAGUAAGUUUACUGUUUUGACUUCUUGUGGGAAAUCCUUUUGUUUCGUGGUGCUCUGCUUGUGGGGUUCGUCGUCGUCCUCACUUGGUGUGUCGAGCCCCUUGUGUUCGGCGUUGAGUUUGCCGGCUUGCUUGAAAACCCAACAAUCUCUGUGGGUAUGGUUCGCAGGCUUCCCGGAAGUACUGUGUAUUUGACAUAUCUUGUCCAGGAUUUCGUUUAAGUUGGAUAGCUCGUCCCUGUUAUCCUUGAGGGGUGGCUUUCUCUGAUUCUGUCGCGAGCUUUUGAAUCCGGCGUUGAUCGCCGUGCUCUUUGGGCCGUUUCCCUUAUUCUGGCGCUGGUCCUUGCUGCGUCGGGGUUUUCCGUUUCCAUCCCUAACUUCGGAUGUACUUGGGUUGCUGGUGCUACAUCUUGCCAACCAGUUGUCCUCUCCUACGCAAAAGCGGGUCAUGAGGCUUGUUAAUGCGGCCAUUGUUCUUGGCUUUUCUUGGCCGAGGUGUCUGGUGAACCAUUCGUCUCGAACGUUAUGCUUAAAAGCUGCUAGGGCUUCGGCGUCCGAACAGUCGACUAUCUGAUUCUUUUUAGUAAGAAAUAUGUUCCAGAGUUUCCGGGCUGACUCUCCGGGCUGUUGAAUUAUGUGACUGAGAUCGUCUGCAUCCGGAGGGCGGACAUAGGUCCCUUGAAAAUUUGCCCAGAAAGCAUCCUCAAGCUCUUCCCAACUUCCAAUGGUGUUUUCGGAAAGGCUUUUGAGCCAAUGCCGGGCUGGCCCUUUAAGCUUGAGGGGUAAGUAUUUUAUGGUGUGGAGGUCAUCUCCUCUGGCCAUGUGCAUGUGGAGGAUAUAAUCCUCGAUCCAGACCCCAGGGUCUGUUGUUCCGUCGUACGCCUCUAUGUUUACGGGCUUGAAUCCCGCUGGAAAUUCAUGGUCCAGCACCUCAUCGGUGAAACAUAGGGGGUGUGCGGCACCCCUGUAUUUGGGUGUGUCAUGAUGUUCGAAUAUUUGUUGUGUUACAUUGCUUACUAGAGCUUGCUUUCUUGGCCCGUAUAUAGAUCUGGCUGGGCCAUCUUUUUGAUGCGGAUCCUUUGGUGGAUCGUGUGCCGGCUUGUGUGCGGCGCCGCUUGCCGCUCCAUGCUGGCCAUGCGGUCGUCCAUCCGACCGGAUGGCUUUCCUAUUUUUUGACUGCGGGGGCUCUAAGGCCUCCUCGUCAAAUUCAGGCAGUAGCUUUCGCUUUGGAUAGCUUUUUGUGCGGCGACUGCCACCAUAUUUGUCUGCGGUGUUGCGUACUUUGCUCCAUUUGAUUCUGAGUGCAUCUUCCGCAGUAUUGAGCUUCCGCUUCUGCUUUUUCAGGCUAUGCGCAGUGGUGACGAGCCUUUUGUGGAGGUUCUUCUGCUCCAUGAGUUUAUCCGGUGUAAGGUCGUCCAGACUGUUGUUUUCGCCGGGGACGGGGUGUUCGGUUUGUUUAUCCAAGUUGCCCUGUUCGGACGCUUGCUCGAAUGCAUGUUCGUCGUCCGCCGGUUCAUCCUGCUCUAUGGCUGGGUCUGUAUGGCUGCUGUCUCUAUCGAGGCGGGGCUUGUAGCGGUGCUUACGUCGCCGCUUUGAUUGCUUUUUGAGGGAACGAUCCCUCGUUGCAUCCCUGUGUUCCUCGUUGUCGCUUCCUUUGGGUGUGUCCACCAUGUAUACAUCAUGAGAUGAGGUGGUUGUCCAGUUCCCUAUAGGCGUUGGUUCAUGUUCAUCUCCUACAUCGUCGUCCAUACCGUUGAUGUCUUCGGAGUCGAAGUCGAGCACGUCAUUUAAAUUAUCGACAGUGGCUACGAAGUGGGUGGUGGGUGGGCAUCGAAUUUCUUCGUCGUCCACAUCCCAAUCCUGCCGGUCAUAGUCCGGCCAGGGUUCUCCUGACAAAGAGAGAGACCUGAGUGAAUUCAGAAUGUCGCCGAAGGGCGAUUGUUGAAAGAUGUCUGCGGCGGUGAACUCCAUGAUCGACGCCCAAUCGGAUUCGAUCGGUAGGGGCGCGACGGGCUCGGGGUCCGGAAAGGAGUCCGGCACCUUGGAGUCACGGGCUUCGCAGAGGACAAGGCUGGUGUUCGGCUUGAUCGCCGUAGAGAUUGCAGCCCCCGAGGCGGUGUCUAACCACCCAUCCCCGAUUGGUGUGAUUGGCUCCGAGCUAGGGGUCGGAGCGGACACAGAUAAGGCCUCCAGGGCACUGUUCGGCGGCAGAGCUAGAUCAUGCCCAUCGUGACAAUGCGGCGCGCUCGACUGUGGCUCGAAUCCGUCGAAGAUCAAGUCUCCGCGGAUGUCGGCCGUGUAGUUCAAACUUCCAAAUCUGACCUGAUGGCCAGGGGCGUAGCUUUCGAUCUGCUCCAAAUGACCAAGCGAAUUGGCCCGCAGUGCAAAGCCGCCGGAUACGAAGAUCUGUCCGGGAAGAAAAGUCUCACCCUGGAUCGCAUCGCUGUUGAUGAUCGGAGAAGCCAUCGGGCCUAAAAGUGACGACACAGAGGAACUCUCAAUGAAAGCACCAAUGUCGGUGUCAAAACCGGCGGAUCUCGGGUAGGGGGUCCCGAACUGUGCGUCUAGGCCGGAUGGUAACAGGAGGCAGGGGACAUGAUGUUUUACCCAGGUUCGGGCCCUCUUGAUGGAGGUAAAACCCUACGUCCUGCUUGAUUGAUAUUGAUGAUAUGGGUAGUACAAGAGUAGAUCUACCACGAGAUCAGAGAGGCUAAACCCUAGAAGCUAGCCUAUGGUAUGAUUGUUGUUCGUCCUACGGACUAAAACCCUCCGGUUUAUAUAGACACCGGAGAGGGCUAGGGUUACAUAGAGUCGCUUACAAUGAUAGGAGAUCUACAUAUCCGUAUCGCCAAGCUUGCCUUCCACGCCAAGGAAAGUCCCUUCCGGACACGGGACGAAGUCUUCAAUCUUGUAUCUUCAUAGUCCAGGAGUCCGGCCGAAGGUAUAGUCCGGCUAUACGGACACCCCUAAUUCAGGACUCCCUCAGUCGCCUCGCCUUCCCGAGUAGAGCACAAACCCAAUCAACCUAAAAAAUAGCAUGAACCCUUCCGUUGGUAUGGAUCGGGAUCCAUCGCGCCUCCAUGGCCCUAAGACCACCAGAGGCGUGGUGGACCGGGGCGCCGACAGAAGGCAGAGAAACCCCAAUUGCAUAUGCAGACGCGAGAGGAGGCGAAGGGUACGACUGAGUGUUUUACUCAUGUGUGAAAUUUUGUGAAGAAACAACAUCGGCGAUAUUCUAGGCAAAAAAAAUCGGUGCUAUAAAAAAAGACCAUGUUAAAGUAAUUUUGAUAUAUGAUUUCUGUUUUUCACUAAAAAUGGCACAAAUGUCAACUUUUAGCAUCAUAUAUGAGUACAACAAAUCGACUAGGUUAGCCUAAAAUAUAGAAGCUAUAUGUUUUUUUUACUAUUUUUAGUUUUUUUCUAUUUAUAGUGGGCACAAUGGAACCAUAUGCACUGUUGUAUUUUUGUCUUCUUUUUAGAAUUGUAUUUUUAUCGGUAUUUAUUUUUAAUAAUCUGCUAAACUUUACUGAUCAAGGUUAAAAAAGAUAGAGGAAUAGAAAUAGGAGCAUGGGUUAGCCUAGCCAAGCCAGAUGUCUCUACCCGAUAGAAUGGCGAAACUUGGCAAGGCUAUGAGCCUCUGCACUUGAGACACGACCUAUGAAACAAAAAUUACCACUGCGAAACUCAGAUUUCCUACUAAUGAUUUUCCUAAUGAUUAAGCCAUACGUGCCUCCUGUGCCAUUAGCAAUUUGUUUCGAAUCUGAGGCCGCAAUGAUUUUACGCAUAUUUUCGUCAGUAUGUACAUCGCUGUCACGGUCGGUCACUCUGCGACUCUAGAAGAAGACCGUUGCGGUUGAGGCAUUCACGUCAGCGCGCCAACCGAGCCCGACCGUGACCCUCCUGAGGGCCCCCAUCCACACCGUACACCAGCCAUAGUGGCCUGGAGAAAGCCCAGGCCCACUUCCCUGCUACUGCAACGGCUCCGGCCCACGGCCCGUUCUAAAUCAGUAUCGUCCAUCCUCAGCUCAGAUCGGGGUUGCGGUGGCGGCCACCGGCGACCGCAGCCUCCUCCCCGCCGUCGCCAAAACCCGCCGGAGAAAUCGCGCCGCCCCGCCCCACACCUGACGCCGCGGCGUGCCUAUCCACCAGCGCCGCCACGCGUGGGGGCCGUCGUUGCAGAUACCGAGACACGACGAGCAAUCGCCACCACCAACAGAUUCACCGAGGUAUGUGAAAACAUGUGAUGUACUUCUAUCAGCUCAUCUCCAUACGCGACAUGCAUGCGAAAUCAGUAGCAUCCACCUACCCACCAACGCCUCCAACAUCCAUCAGCACAUGAGAAACAAACUGACAAACUUCUGAAGAAAAAAUAACAACACUGACACUAGGAUUCAGAGCCUGCAAAUUCACCAUGUUCAGACAAUAGGCAAGAUCAGACUAGCCUUGCAACAAAGAUCAGGUAUGCAUCCAUGCGUUCACCAAAGAGUUGGAUUCGGUUCGGUUCGGUUCACAAAUGUAUACCCAUCUCUUUAUGUACAUCACCAACCACCACACAAAGGAGAGCUAGCAGUACAUACAACAAUACUGGAGUAUACCCCCCUAACACCAAGUAACCAACACAGCACAACACAACACCCUCUCCCCCCCUACCUUGCCCAUUUUCCCCCAGCACACUUAUACCAGCCCCUGCCCCCCUCUAACGAACUACAGUACAGAAUUANN
rnacentral:lncRNA from 1 species